rnacentral:tRNA from 1 species
AGCCCCGGGGUGUUAACAUAUGGGAUUGCAAAUCUCGAGACGCAGGGUAAUACCUGCCGGGGCUU